rnacentral:lncRNA from 10 species
CAGGAGGAGGGAAAAACAGGGCCACAGGCUGGGCAUGACACAUCUUGUUACCCAUGCAAUGUUGGGGUCAGAGAGUGUAGAGAGUGGUGUGGGGAGAGUGCAGGCUGAAGAGUUACCUAAGGUCAAAAUCCUGACCUAUGAGCCAAGCCAUCGAUUUGGGAUUUCUACUGAGGACACUGGAAGUCACUAAGAGCAUCUGAAUGGUUAUGUGAAGUUGGCAGUUCCCAAGGGCUUUAGGCUUGAAGCUGUGGGUCAUACCCCUUCGGAAACUUGGUCCCCAAGAGAAAUGUAUGCUUCUGAAAACCACAGGUGCAUGAAUCGUGUUUAGUAAAUGACUACUAAACUGAAAUCAGGACUUGUCUAUAUCUUGGCUUCUCAAACUUGAAUAUGCUUAUCAUCUGGAUAGCAAAAGCAUUCCUACACGUUGAGGCCUGCCAGCGUGGGUGUCACCCAGGAGCCACUCGGAAAGGCUCAUCGGAAACCACCCCGGACUGACUGAGGCAGAAUCUCUGGGGGCAGGACCCAGGCCUCAGCAUAAAAACUCCAGGUGACGGAAGAGCUCCCACCUAACAGGUGUGUUGGCAUUGUUGUAGGUGACUGACGUAGUUUCCCAUCUCACAACUCUACCUCCAUGAAGAAAAGUCAUGGAAAAUUGAGACUUUGGGCUGAGUGUGGCUCAUCCCUGUAAUCUUAGUGCUUUGGGAGGCUGAGGUAGGAGGAUCGCUUGAGGCCAGGAAUUUGAGGCCAGCCUGAGCAACAUAGUGUCUCUUCAAAAAACUAAGUUUAUUCUUUCCUCUUUUUUAGUUUUUAUUUUACACGGCUCACUGUGGCUUUGACCUCCCAUGCUGAAGCGAUCCUCCUAUCUCAACCUCUCAAGUAGCUGGAAGCACAGGCAUGCACCACCACACCUGGCUAAUUUUUUUCUUCCUUUUUUAAAGAGACAGUCUUGCCAUGUUGCCCAGGCCCUGUUGACCAGGAAAAAAAAAAGUUUUUUUUCUUUUUUAAAGAAAGAAAAUAAAAGAGACUGAGAAACCACAGAAAUAAAGAAGCGCUGAUGACAAUGCCUGCUUGCUGAUGGUUACGAUGAUCAUAGCAGUGUGCAUUUUGUAUGCAUGAAGCCUGCGACUAAAUAAACGUGUGGGGAAAUAUUUGUAAGGAAAUAAGCUAUUAAUAAAAUAAGCUAAAAUCACAGUUGCUGGACUAUGACUGAUUUUUCCCCUUUCUCUCAUUUAAAAUUAAAUAUUUGUAUGACUUGUAUAAUAGAAAAAUACAUGUAUUCAAUCUUAAAAAGAUAUUCUUAUUUUACACUUUACGGGACAAAAGAGGUUGUAGGUUGGAAUGGUUCAGUCCCCUUGUGACAACUCAAAAACAGAGACCUUAAGCCUUUCUCAACCAAUGUUGCGGGACAAGCAGGCGUGUGAGGCGACAAUGCCAUUAGGGUAUUUUUUGGAAAAAUUUUAGUGUGAGAGACAAAAGCCAAAUUCAAACUGGCCUGAGCCAAAAUAGGUAGGAAAGGGAGAAGCGGAGACAGGGAGGAAGAAAGAGAGAGAACAGAAAGAAAAAGGGAGAAAUGUCGAAAGGCAAAAUUACAACACAUUUAGUUAAAUGAUUGAAUUGGUUUUUAUUUGUAAUUCAUGAAUUGGGGCAGCAUCUCCUCUAAAACUUUAGGAAAAGUGCUCUGAUGAGCUAAACAGAGAAGCUUGGCUUUAUAGGCAGAAAAGGGUGAAGAAAGCAGACACAGGGAACAAAAAGCAGAUUGGUAAGCUCAGGUUACUUCAGGUUACUUUCCUUAUAAAGGUUAAAGUAGAGGGGACUUCCUUAUCAUGCUGGCUACAACUGGCCUGUUUGGGGAUUUGCAUAUUAUCUCUCUCUGUCUUGAGUUCUGGGAAGGUCUGAUGACUUAGUUUCAGUUUGGUGAUAUGGAACUUAGCAUGAGUGACUCCAUCUUGGUUUGGUCUACUGGGGCCUCCUGCAGGAGCUCAGCCCAAAUCAGUGACCUCCUAUAAAUUUCAUUUAAUAGAAAAGGAAGGAAGGAAGGAAGGAAGGAAGGAAGGAAGGAAGGAAGGAAGGAAGGGAGGGAGGGAGGGAGGGAGGGAGGGAGGAAGGGAGGAAAGAAGGAAGGAAAGAAAGAAAGUUGCUUAUAAGUUGCUUAUAACUAAAAAGACCAGCUGGACCCAGGAGCUCUGAGGUUGCUUUCAGGCCUCUGUCCAUCUCUUAGUUUUCCAUCCUCAGACAGGCUCUGCCCUGCCUUACAGUCUAGCAUUGUUGGCCAAAGGUGACUGACUGGCCCAGCUUGGGCUAUAUGUCCUUCCCUGUGGCCAGAGAGAUGUGUCUCUGUGAUGGCCAGGCUUGGGUCACGUACUCCCUCCCCUACCAGAAUCACAUGAAAAGAGGGAGGAAGAGCCGCUUUCCACCAAAGGAAACUGAAGUGCUAUUGUCAGAGGGGUUGCUGGGCAGACCAAAAAGAUGACAAUAUCUGCUCCAAUCGCUCGGGUUGUUGGUGCUUGGCAGAUUUGCCCCUACGUCACUUUUCAGAUGUGGAUAAGACUGAAGGUGACCACAGGCUUCCGAGAGGAAAGCUGCCAAUGGGGGUGUGAGAGGAGGGGGAAUUCUUACUCACCAAGGUUAACACUGUGCACACUGUUCUCCGAGGAAGUGGGAAUUUCCACAUGGUGAGUUCCCUUCCCUGUACAAUGAAUUACUAUCUUGAUGAGAAACCCGUGGGCAGCUGGUUGAGAAGAGAAAGGUAUUCUCUGAAUGAGAGGGAAUUUACCACCUUCCUUUCAAUGGUGACAGUUUUUUCUGGUGUCACCGCAGGGUGUGGAUUGAUUCAUAUACAAAUAUACAUAUCUACAUAGAUGCCAUUCUGCUAGCCUCUGCAAAAUGCAUGCCUGGAGACCAUUUCUGCUGCCUAGGAGAUGUCAACUUUGUCACCACCACUCUCUCUCCACCACUCCCACACCCUGCAGGGGCCAGGUGUGUGGGUGGGGAGCUCCCCAGCUGGAGGCCAGAUUAGAGGUCUCUGUGUGGUGGGGAUGGGGAGGAUGGGGUGGGAAUGAGGUGGUAGGCCACUGGCAGUGGUCCAAGUUCCAUCCAGGAUCUGUCCUAGGCCUCUCCCCAGGCUGUCGCUUCCACCAUUGAAUUUCUAACCUGGAUCUCUAAGGUUAUGAAUAUCUCAUUCCCGCAUCCUGGGGUGCUCAGACAUGUCUCCCCUGAGUCUCUAGCUGGGCUCGUGGCUGUGAUCAUUGUCCUCAGAGUUCCAUCCUCCCAACAAAGGGACAGAAGAAACACAGGGCCCACUUUUCUGGAUUCUGAGUUGGAGCCAAGAAAUUCUAUCUGCUGCUUCCUUCCUGUUGAAUUAUCCCCCAAGGACCCCUUAGUCCCUCCAGUCUCCUCCAGAGGCCUAUAGCUGCCCCAGCUCCCCAUGAUGGAUACCUGGCUCUUUCCUACCCAGAGGAAAACGCAGGCCCUUCCCCAGCCCUGCACUGAACUCCUGUGAGUGGCUGAGGAGAUGAGGAGGUGUGAAGAGUGAGUGUGUUGGGGAGGGAGGGGUCCCCUGCCACCAGGUACCAAGGACUUCUGCCAGAUCACCAGAACUGACACCUGGUUCCACCGGCCAGCUGUGAAGUGUCGGCCCUGACAUCAACAGCUGACCUCCCACAGGGCCUAAGGAAACGGAAUUGUGGGUAAAUGAAACAUUUUAUUUAUUUUAUUUUGUUUUAUUUUUAUAAAUUUUUGGGGAGACAGUUUUGCUAUGUUGCCAAGGCUGGGCUUGAUCUCCUGACCUUAAGUGAUCCUCCUACCUUGGCCUCCUGUGCUGAGAUUACAGGUGUGAAUCACCAUGCCUGGCCAAGAAGUGAAUUUGUAAAAGACAUGAGGAAAGGCCUGGUGGAAAGCUAACAGUGAAAAAAAUUUUCAAUACUUGCUAUAGAAACUAAAGAAACUCACAAUAUUUUGCUCUCUAUUGGAUCAUUUCCAUCAACAUACAAAUAAAUACCUGUUAUUUUUUCCAUCUUUAAAAAAAUGCCUUCAUUAUAAGUGAUUCAACAAAUUAAUAAACGAGAAGGGAAAAAUCUUCUCUAUAGAAGAAUUCCAAAUAGCAUAUGUAGAUACUCUCCCCUCCAGGAAGCCGAGCUUAAAUCCACUCUCUUUGAGAGUGGACUGGAUUUAGUGACUCACUUCCAAAGAGUAGAGUAUGGAAAGGGAAAAUAGUAACUUUAUAGGAAAGAAACCCAGCAGGUACCUUGUUAACCAAAUGAUGAAGGUUAACAUCACCGCUGAUAAGUCAUGUUGCUAUCAUUCACCCGCUGAUACGAUCUCAUGAGAAGGGCAAUUCCCGACUGUGGUAUUCUUCAAAUCUAUUGAGUUAUAAGAAAACAUGAGAUAAACCCAAACUGAGGAACAUUCUACAGAAUACAUGACCAGUAUUCUUCAAAGCCCUUAAGGUCAUGAUAAACAAGGGAAGACUAAGAAGUGAUCACAGAUUGGGAUGACUGAGACAUGAUGACAAAAUGCAGAGUGAUAUCUUGGAACAGAAAAAAGACAUUAGUGAGAAAAUUCAAAAAACUCUGAUUAGAGUUGAUAGUUGGGCUAUUAGUUUUAUACCAAUGUGAAUUUCUUAGUUUUGACAAAUAUACGUGAGGGAAAGCUAGGCGAAGGGUAUUCUGGAAAUCUCUACCCUGUACUGUCUUUUCAACUUUUCUAUGAAUCUAAAGCUCUUCCAAAGAUAAGUCUAUUAAAAAAAUAACAAAAACUUCCUCUAAAAUUUAAAGACGGACAAUAUCAGGUGUUGAUAAAUCUGUGGAGAAUUUGGAGCUCAUACAUUGCUGGUGAGAAUGUGAAAUUAUGUAGUUAUUUUGGAAAACAGUUCGGUAGUUCUUAUAAAAUGAAAGAUACAUCACUAAAUGACCCAACGAUUCUACUCCUUGAUAUCUACCCAGUAGGAAGGAAAUGAUGUCCGUACAAAGACUUGUAUACAAAUAUUCAUACCAUUUUUCAUCAUAAUGGCCCAAAACUAGAAACAACUCAAAUGUCCAUCAACAAGUAAUGGGUAAUCAAAUUGCGGUAUAUAUAUACAAUGAAAUAUAACUCAAUAUAAAGUAAGAAACUACUCAUAGAUACAGCAACAUGGAUAUUUCUCAAGUAUAUGCUGAGCAAAAAAAGCCAGACACAGGAGCACAUCCUAUAUGAUUCAAUUUAUACGACAUUUUAGAAAAGGCAAAACUAAUCUCAGAGACAGAAAGCAGGUCUGUGGUUGCCUGGAGCUGCGGAUUGGGGAGGGGAUGAUGGGAGAGAUUGACAAAAGGAGCACAAGGAACCUUUUGGGGUGAUGCUGGUAAUAUAUAUCUUGAUUGUUGUGGUGGUUACAUGGAUGCAUACAUUUGUCAAAAAUCAUUAAACUGUAUACUUCAAAUUUAUUAUAUGUAAAUUAUGCCUUAAUAAAGUUGAUUUUCUGAAAAGCUUUCUUUGAUCCGUUUACCCUGCCAGCUCCCCUUUUGCAAGACUCCUGAAAGAGCUGCUGAUACUCACUGUCUCCACUUCUACCCCAUAUGUUCUUUCUGAAGCCCACCCCAGCCAGGCUUCUAUUCCCAUCAUGCCAUGGAAACCAUUCUCAUCAAGGCGGCAGUGACCUCCGUGUUGCUAAAUCCAAUGAGCACUCACCACUUUCCAGUACAGUAUAUUAUUCAACCUGCUUGUUUAUUUUGUUUACUUUUCAUUGUCUAUCUACUCAAAGGCAGGAAACUGCUUUGUUCACGGCUGUAUCCCAAGUCCUAGAGUAGUGCCUGGCCCGUAGUAGCUGCCCAGUAGGUACUUGUUGAAUGAAGUAAUAAAGUUUCACCAGCAAGAGCAAACUUCCUACCUCUGGCCUAUCAGCCCAGGUCUGAGCAGACUGAUCCAGGAGACGACAGAGAAAAGGUGGAUCUGGAGGGAUCCUGCCCUGUCCCAGGAUUGGGAGAAUUGAGAGAGGCUCCGGAUUCUUCUUCAUUGUCUUUGGUUGUGCCUCGUGACCUCAGACAGACCUGGGCCUCUGGUUCGCUAGGCUGCAGCUGUGUGCUCAGAGCCACUGCCCACCGCUUAACGUCAUAGUUCUCAGGGGACCUUCCAGGAAUACUCAGAGGACAUAUGUCUGUGACUGCACUGUCCAGGGUACCAGCCACUGGCCAUGUGGCUACUGAGUACUUAUUUGGCCAGUCCCAAAUGAGAUGUGUUGAAACUGUAAAAUUUCAAAGACUUAGUACAAA